rnacentral:rRNA from 1 species
GACGUAGGGCGCGAGCGUUGUCCGGAUUUAUUGGGCGUAAAGAGCUCGUAGGCGGCUUGUCGCGUCGUCCGUGAAAACCUGCAGCUCAACUGCAGGCUUGCGGUCGAUACGGGCAGGCUAGAGUUCGGUAGGGGAGACUGGAAUUCCUGGUGUAGCGGUGAAAUGCGCAGAUAUCAGGAGGAACACCGGUGGCGAAGGCGGCAUCCUGGACCGGCAUUGACGCUGAGGAGCGAAAGCCAGGGGAGCAAACGGG